rnacentral:rRNA from 1 species
AUUGAACGCUGGCGGCAUGCCUUACACAUGCGAGUCGAACGGUAACAGGUCUUCGGAUGCUGACGAGUGGCGAACGGGUGAGUAAUACAUCGGAACGUGCCCGAUCGUGGGGGAUAACGAAGCGAAAGCUUUGCUAAUACCGCAUACGAUCUACGGAUGAAAGCGGGGGAUCUUCGGACCUCGCGCGGACGGAGCGGCCGAUGGCAGAUUAGGUAGUUGGUGGGAUAAAAGCUUACCAAGCCGACGAUCUGUAGCUGGUCUGAGAGGAUGAUCAGCCACACUGGGACUGAGACACGGCCCAGACUCCUACGGGAGGCAGCAGUGGGGAAUGUUGGACAAUGGGCGCAAGCCUGAUCCAGCCAUGCCGCGUGCAGGAUGAAGGCCUUCGGGUUGUAAACUGCUUUUGUACGGAACGAAAAGGUGCCUUCUAAUAAAGGGCGCUCAUGACGGUACCGUAAGAAUAAGCACCGGCUAACUACGUG